UAGCUCCGAGGCGGACGCCCCGGGACGAGCUCGGGCGUUUGGGCGGCCCGCGCUGCACCCUCGCCGGCCGGCAAUCGGGGGUCGUCCCGGGUACGUUCUAGCGGUUGCCGGGCGCUACACAGCGAUCGCUUUGAGAGCGUCCCUUCCCUCCGGAGCUUCGGCGACUUUGGCGAGGGCUGUGACUCGGCCGCCAGGAGCGAGGCAGAGUUCCGGGAGGCGGGAUGCUGGCGGCGACUGUCCCGGUGCCGCUGAGGCUUGGGCGCUUCCUGCUGUAGCCGGAGAUUGGCCGAGCAGAUUCAUGUGGUGUGAGGCCGGCCUUGCGCUUCGGGGCUGUGGUUGGGAUGGUCCUGGCGGGUCUACCAGCAUGCCCUGGUGCCCCUCCGCCCGCAAUACUGAGCGUGGUUAUAGGACACGGUGUCCGUGCCCGACGUCGUCCUCCACGUCCUGGUGGUCGUACUUUCUCAAUUUUUCCGAGUCAUCGGGAGGUGGGGAAAGACACGGAUGUACUCGGACGGCGCCUGACUUUCCCCGGCCUCCCCGCUGGAUGCCGAACUUAUUCACCAAUUUUUUAAGUCUCUCGCCGGAGUGGGGCCCGGGCCGGAUGACGAAACGAGGAGGCACUGGGAGGGCGAUGGCGGUCCUCCCCUUCCUCCUUCCCACGGGACCAUGACGCCCCGACCCACAGGCCGUCCGGCAGUGCGUCCUCACCGCCUUGUGGGCCCGGGUCCGUCCAGCUGCCGUCGCGGCAGUGGGGCUGCUCCCCGGCGACCACUUUCGUUUCUCCAGAUCCCAUGCGAAGCGGUCACUGGGUUCCGUAGAUGGGAUUCCCCUGCAGGUCAGGCUGCGUCUACACUGGCAGCGCCCGUCGUCCAGUCUCCUGUUCACCUCGGCGCAGCGCUUGUGUGUCGACAGCACACGCAGGUCCCCUCACCGCGGGAAACGACACGGAGUUUCGCGUGCAAGUGGGGAGGACGCUCCAGGCACGGCGGCCGUCCCACCUGGGUCUCAGUGGUCGGAACCCCUAGCAAAGGUUUGGUAAACGGGGCGCGGCCUGGGCCGUCCGCUGGUGGUCGGGAGGAGCCCCGAGCCCGGGCGCAAUCCUGGUUGGGAGCGGUUGUCUGAGGCUCCCCCAGGGAAUAAGCUCUCUCUGGAUCCUGGGAACGGUCUCUGGACCCGCGGGCGGACACACCGGACCGAGCAACGCGACGGAUGGCGGUCUGGAUUGACCCCAGAAGUUAGUGCGGCGGCUGUAUGCCUGCGCCCUUGCACGCCCUGGAUUCGUCCCGCUGAGCUUCGCACCAGUGGAGCUUCACCUGGUGGUUCCUGCAGCAAGACUCACAGUAGACUCACCAAAAUGUAGGCAUUGAUGAAAUAAGAAAUCCUGAGAUUUUGAAUAUUUGAAGAUGUUGAAAGAGAGUUUCCAGAAUACAGAAUUUUCUAUAUACGACUGGGAGUCAGGGAACUCCUCCCUCUAAUCACGAGGUCCUGUCCCACCCCCUGCAGCAAGCAACCUGGAAAGCCAGACCCAAAUCUGUGCAGCAACAGAUCCCAAGGGUCAGUGCUUGCUCAGUGACUGACAACGUCCUCAUUUUUCAUCCUUUGCAUUCAGAACCGAAUGUAGGAAAACCAAAUAUGUUGCCCGAGGCAGUCAUGUGGGCUGCCUUCUUCCUGUCCUCCGCCUCCAGCUUCCUCACAUCACAACCUUCUUUUUUGCCACCAGAAAGCACUUCUGCGUGUGCAUGAGUCAGUGUAACGUGAGAGGCAGUGUCUGUGUCCCUCAAUCUGUAGCGCCAGCUCUGAACAAAUAGUGCUUGUCUCACUUGGGAGUCUUUCCUCAUGUCUAUAGGGCUUAGUAGAGUGAGAAUGAGAACCAACCAAUAA